rfam:Myroides odoratus DSM 2801 chromosome, whole genome shotgun sequence.
AAGGAAGUACUCGAAAAUCCUUAAUAGAGUAGAGA